rnacentral:rRNA from 1 species
GACGAACCGUGCGAACGUUGUUCGGAAUCACUGGGCAUAAAGGGCGCGUAGGCGGCUUAUCAAGUCAGGGGUGAAAUCCGGCAGCUCAACUGUCGAAGUGCCUUUGAUACUGAUGAGCUCGAGGGAGGUAGGGGUAUGCGGAACUUCCGGUGGAGCGGUGAAAUGCGUUGAUAUCGGAAGGAACGCCGGUGGCGAAAGCGGCGUACUGGACCUCUUCUGACGCUGAGGCGCGAAAGCUAGGGGAGCAAACGGGG